CGCGAUUCGCCCUUCGGGGUGCAGCAGGCGCGAAAACUUUGCAAUACACGAAAGUGUGACAGGGUCAUCCCGAGUGCCGACCGCUGAGGUUGGCUUUUACCCAGUCUAGAAAGCUGGGGGAAUAAGGAGAGGGCAAGUCUGGUGUCAGCCGCCGCGGUAACACCAGCUCUCCGAGUGGUGUGGACGUUUAUUGGGCCUAAAGCAUCCGUAGCUGGCUGAACAAGUCCCCUGUUAAACCCACCGAUUUAAUCGUUGGUCUGCGGGGGAUACUGCUCGGCUAGGGGACGAGAGAGGCAGACGGUAUUCCCGGGGUAGGGGUGAAGUCCUAUAAUCCCGAGAAGACCACCAGUGGCGAAGGCUGUCUGCUAGAACGCGCCCGACGGUGAGGGAUGAAAGCUGGGGGAGCGAACCGGAUUAGACACCCGGGUAGUCCCAGCUGUAAACGAUGCAGACUAGGUGUUUGGACGGCCACGUGCCGUUCUAGUGCCGCAGGGAAGCUGUUAAGUCUGCCGCCUGGGGAGUACGAUCGCAAGAUUGAAACUUAAAGGAAUUGGCGGGGGAGCAC
rnacentral:rRNA from 1 species